rnacentral:tRNA from 1 species
GCGGGUAUCGUAUAAAGGCUAUUACCUUGGGUUUCCAACCCAAUGACCUCGGUUCGAGUCCGAGUAUCCGCUCCA